rnacentral:misc_RNA from 1 species
UUAAUGUUUGAGAAUAAUGCAUCUAUUUCUACGCUCUGCACAACUACUGUCUAGUCACUCAAGGUUUAUCUUGAGUAAUCAUGCCCGAUUAUUUGUCAAUAGUGGAAGUCGAUUUGUUAGCAUCCACCAACAACCUCUGCUGUUUCAAACGUUACCUUUAGGGAGUUUUAGUCAGAUUUGCUGUAGAUCUUGGUCUUUCUAUGCAGUUAGAGGAUUCCAUACAAGUCAGCCAAGAUCUGCUGCUCCACUUGCAGUUCUCCUUGUAAAACUUGCUGGUCCUCUAUCAAAAUUGACCAAACUUGUUGCUGUUGUUGGAGGAAGAUAUUUUCGUAAGUGGUGGAAUAAUUUAUCAGCUGAUAAGCGUUUACAGCUGACUAAAGCAUUUCAUCUUCGGAAGGAGAGAUUGACCAUAGUCGUUGGUGGUUUUGGUGGAUUAUGUAUCGCAUAUUACUUUUUCCAUCUGGAAGAAACGCCAUUCACUCACAGGCCCCGAUUUAUGCCAAUCUCUCAUAAACAAAUGGAGGAACUAACAAGUACAGAGUAUAGGAAUACAUUAGAAUUAUAUGCAGACAAAAUUUUACCCGUGACCCAUCCCAAUCACCUCAGAGUCUUCAGGGUUGCUAAGAGGUUGGUGAUGGCAAAUGGUAGCAAGGAAAUGGAACAUCUGUCUUGGCAAGUCAAUGUGGUGAAUUGUGAUGAUAUGAAUGCAUUUGUAUUACCAAAUGGUCAGAUUUUCAUGUUUUCUGGAAUGUUGAAAGUAUUACCAAAUGAUGACUCACUGGCCACUAUUCUUGGUCAUGAAAUGUCCCAUGCUAUUUUACAACAUGGGGCAGAACAAGUCAGCCUGUGUGGUUUCAUUAACAUGUUUAUUGUCAUAGUUCUUGCAUUACUCUGGGCCCUCCUGCCGACAGAAGCAGCUAUCUUUGCUCAUUGGUUUCAAAACAGAAUACUCAGCAUUUUUCUUCACCUUCCUUAUUCAAGAAAAUUAGAAGAAGAGGCAGAUGAGGUUGGAAUGAACAUGGCAGCCAAGGCAUGCUUUGAUGUUCGAGAGAGUCCCAGGUUUUGGCGCCGAUUGGCAAACACUCAAAAUGAAAUGGACGAACCAGAGUUAUUAAAGUGGCUUUCCACCCAUCCAAAGCAUAGAGACAGAGCAGACAAUCUAGAGGCUUUACUUCCACAGGCAUUAGAGGUCAGAAGGAAUUGUAACUGUCCCCCUCUCUCAGGGGAAGCAUCCUUUAUAACUCAAGAAGAUAAAAAUUAUCAUGGAUUUUUGCAACAGCAUUUGCUUCCUGGGAAGCCAUCCUCAUUGAUUGAAAGGAAUAAGUUCAUUACUAAAUAAUCCCACCACCAACCAUACAUUUUGGAAUUUUUGAACCAGUCCAACCCACCUACUUAACAGGCCAACCACCUAAAAAAAACAAAACUGUUUUAUGGCACUUUCAUGGUUCAUUAACUGGUCCAUUUGAUCAGCACUUUAAUAACAAGGACUUGUUUGUAAACAGCCUGGAAGAAGGCUCUCGAAGGUGCUUUACCAUGAGCAGGGUAUUUCAGAGAAGAAUACAACAAAUAAUUUCUUUUUAAAGGUGUAAAGGCCCCCAAAUCCUUUGACCCCUGAGAGUAAUUUGCAUCUAAUAUCUCCUUAAAGUGUCACCCCUGAAUCACUCUUUUAAGGUCAGGAGAAAGUGAUCACCAGCCAGAGAAGCUCUUGAUCUUUAACCAAAUUGUCCUAGUUAGCACCUGAGAGAAUCUUUACCAGUAGUUUGUGAGCUUCAGCCACAAGUUUUGUAAUUGUGUGCUUGCUAUAGAAACAUGGUGCACAAAAAUCCCCAGUUGCAUAAUUUAUUUUUUUUCCAAGAGUGAAUAGUAACAAGUAUGCUUACUACAGAGGUCGAUAUUAUUACCAUCAUAUGAUAAAUCACUUUUUGAAACUACAAAAGUAGUGAUAGGGUAGUGUAUUUUUGUAAACUAGAUCCUCGGUUUAUUGUCUAUGACAAUAAUUACUACUAGUAACUAUCUACAUACACCUUUGGAGUUCUUGGUGUUUAACAGUACAUUAAUUUGUGUCUACAUAGAUCAUUCAUUUUUCAAGAGAAGUAAAAGACAGUAAGUUAAGGGUGGCUUACAAACAAUGAUCAAGCAGUGAACAUUGACUUUCAAAGUUUUUCUCCAUAAAGUAUCAAUCUUAAGUAAUUUGGAAAUCUUACCUUUCACCCUUUGUCAAUUUACAUUCAACAACAAUCAUUCAAAUGGAAACCUACAUGUAUUCGUAACUCGUCAACUUUGUGGGUCUCUUUCACUGCACAUGUCUUUCUUAGGCAAAUGUGCCCCCGCAACCUCAGCACUGCCUUUUUUGUCAUAAAUUGGAAUAAAGUACUUGUGCAAGAAAAAAAUCACAGAUAUUGGCUGUUUUCAAUCUGGAAUUCUGUGUGUCACCAUGUUGAAUGUAUGAAGAGUGACGGUUGCCAUUAUUUUCUGCAUGAUCUCUUUGGGACUCUUAUGAACAAAAAGAGCUCUUUCUAGUAAGACAAUAAAAGUGGCAACUGUUUAGUGCUAUACAAGCCAAAAUGGUGCCUUCUGGGAAAUUCAAGCAUUAAUAUUGCUUUGUUUGUUAAUGGCUUUUGUACAAUUCAUUCUUGUUUCCUAAUUUUUUAAAUCAUUUUACAGCAAGUUUUUCUACCAUUCAUAGUUUCCUUUAACCCUUUAACUCCAAAGAU